GACGAACGCUGGCGGCGUGCUUAACACAUGCAAGUCGAACGGAAAGGCCCUACUUUUGUGGGGUGCUCGAGUGGCGAACGGGUGAGUAACACGUGAGUAACCUGCCCUUGACUUUGGGAUAACUUCAGGAAACUGGGGCUAAUACCGGAUAGGAGCUCCUGCUGCAUGGUGGGGGUUGGAAAGUUUCGGCGGUUGGGGAUGGACUCGCGGCUUAUCAGCUUGUUGGUGGGGUAGUGGCUUACCAAGGCUUUGACGGGUAGCCGGCCUGAGAGGGUGACCGGCCACAUUGGGACUGAGAUACGGCCCAGACUCCUACGGGAGGCAGCAGUGGGGAAUAUUGCACAAUGGGCGGAAGCCUGAUGCAGCAACGCCGCGUGCGGGAUGACGGCCUUCGGGUUGUAAACCGCCUUCGCCUGUGACGAAGCGUGAGUGACGGUAAUGGGGAAAGAAGCACCGGCUAACUACGU
rnacentral:rRNA from 1 species